CCCAGUCUUUCAGAGAACAGUCACAGCAGAAUCUACACAGGCUGGGGAGCCCCUGGCUCCCCUCCUUACUGUCCACACCCAACCCCAACCCAGAGCAGCUGGCGAUAGGGCCCAGAGCCCAGGCGGCUCCCACCCGCUGCUGACCCGACCCAGCGCCCGCUCUCUCCGCCCCCGUCCCCUCCUCCUCCGCACACCUUGGUGACCUGACCCAGCGUCCCUCCCCCCUCCUACACGUGCUGACUGACCCAGCGUCCCUCCGCCUCCCACACCCUGUUGAGCACCACCUUGUCCCCUUCCGCCCCAGCUAACUCGGUGACCAGUGGAGGCCACACCCACGUGACACCUGCUGUCCUUGACAGCAGCUCCGACAGCACCUCUGUGGCUCCGCAGGAGCCGCCUCCCUGCCUCGUGGGCACACAGGCGUCCCACUCUGCAUCAGAGCAGCUGUCUUUCACUGCACUCUGCGACUCCCUUGAGCUCCUCCCUGCGCAAGAUCCGAGAACCCUCUCUUGGGGUCUGGACUGGACCUCUUUCUCCAGCAGCAUUGGGUUCCUCGGAUUCACGCUCACAGCACACUGAGGCCUGUCUUACAAAGAACGAACUGAGGCUUAGAAAGAUGAAACCAAAACCUCCUCAGUCACGUGGCUGAAAAUCGUUGACUCCACCUGUGACCUGGACACCUCCCACCUCCAUCCCUGGAAUUGUGUCACCUUUCUGGACCAAACCACUGGACACCUUACACGUAUCGACUGGCAAUGUGUACACCUCCACACACUGCUAAAUGACAAAGCUGAAUUUUGAAAUACGAUGCCGUGAGGUGUUUGGAGAAGACACAACUGAAAUGAUGUCAUGGAGGUGGCAGGGGAUCGUCUUGCCCUUUUCUUUUUUUCUGCCUGUAACUUCUGUCCCCCUAAAAUGCAUAAAAUCAAGCUGGAAUCCAGCCACCUUAUGCACCAGUUCUUAGGACCUCCUGGGGUUGUGUCACCAAUCAUGGUCCUCAUAUUUGGCUCAGAAUAAAUCUCAUCAAAUAUUUUACAAA